rnacentral:rRNA from 1 species
AGUUUGAUCCUGGCUCAGAGUGAACGCUGGCGGCAGGCCUAACACAUGCAAGUCGAACGGCAGCACAGUAAGAGCUUGCUCUUAUGGGUGGCGAGUGGCGGACGGGUGAGGAAUACAUCGGAAUCUACUCUUUCGUGGGGGAUAACGUAGGGAAACUUACGCUAAUACCGCAUACGACCUACGGGUGAAAGCGGAGGACCUUCGGGCUUCGCGCGGUUGAAUGAGCCGAUGUCGGAUUAGCUAGUUGGCGGGGUAAAGGCCCACCAAGGCGACGAUCCGUAGCUGGUCUGAGAGGAUGAUCAGCCACAUUGGGACUGAGACACGGCCCAAACUCCUACGGGAGGCAGCAGUGGGGAAUAUUGGACAAUGGGCGCAAGCCUGAUCCAGCCAUGCCGCGUGAGUGAUGAAGGCCUUAGGGUUGUAAAGCUCUUUCACCGGUGAAGAUAAUGACGGUAACCGGAGAAGAAGCCCCGGCUAACUUCGUGCCAGCAGCCGCGGUAA